CAGGAGUGAAGAGGCUUUGUCCCCGCAGACUUGACUUGGCUACAGUUGCCAGCAUCCCUGCUGAUGGACCAUUCUGGCUUGGUCCGAUGGGAUUUGGCUUCCCUCUGAAGUCUGGGGGGCAAUAGGUUCCCCUUUCUUGACACACAAGAUAGAUUUUAACCUGGUGGCUAAUUUAAUGCUCAACAAUUUCAUACUAGAAGGGUUUGAUUUUAAUGUGCAGAAAACAUGGAUAACUAUCAAGUAAUGAUGCUUUCUUUCCACAGUUUUCCAUAUGCUGAAUGCUUCUUACCACAGUCCUCUAGAAAGCCUGAUGCCAUCCUCGUGCCGUAGAAGCAGAUACAGUAGUAUUCUUAUCUUGAGGAAAUCUGGAAUGUCCUUCGAAAGCUCCUUUCUGAUUUCAGUGCACAGGGGUUGGACUCGAUGGCCCUUGUGGUCUAUUCCAACUCUAUGAUUCAGUCUCCCCUAACCUGGUGCCUUCCGACUUGUUUAGAAGUCUCUUAUUCCAAUCAGCCUUUGCAAGCAUGGACAGUGUUCAGAGAACGAUGGGAGUCUUGGCCUGACAAAAUAGGGAUAAAAGCAUGUCACGCUCUGGCAGAGGAGGGAGUCUGGUUUUGGUAAGAUGGUCAUGAAGGGCCGACCCACCCAUGGGGCAAGUUAAAGGCAGCCGCCUGGGGCAGCAGGAUCCAUAGGGUUAGCAGAUCCGACCUGCAAGGAAGGCUGGGAAUGUGGUCUCUACAGCGGCCUUGUUCCUGAUGUAGAUCUUCACUCACCCCUUCCCUGGUGGGUGGGCGUCGGGUGUUUUGCCUCAGGUGCCAAAAUGCCUUUGGCCGGCCCUGUGUGUGUGUGGACCAUCAAAUCAAGAUGUUGAUGCUUUCUUCCCAACCCAAGGUUGGCAGAUGUGUUGGAACGACUGAGCCAAUGGUAGGCGGAGAGACUGUCAUCACAGGUGUGAGUGCAAAGUCAAGUAGCUAAGCAUUGCUAACCCCAUUUUUAUCCCAAGUGGCUCUUCCCUUACAACCUAAGCUUUCCCAGUGAACGUCCUGGCUUAGCAGGGGAUUUGAACUCUGGUCUCCGAGGUCUUAGUCCAACAUUCCAACCACGGCUCCACAUUGCCAGUCUUGCAAGAGAAUGAAGAAGCCUAGGAGGAGAUGGCAGGAACAAGUGACCCAUACUGUUAUAUAUUGCAUAGAAAACCAAUACGAAUGGGCAGUUUCCAGAACGUUAGCUUCUUGCAUCAAAAAACAAUCCUGUGACACCUUGGAAAAGUUGAUGGCAGGUGUUGCUGCCACCCCAUCGCUGUGCCUCUUUUCUGGGCUGCUCAGCGGCAGCAGUUUCCAGUGAAAUCUCAUGAGAUUCAUGCUCUCCAUGAGAUCUCACGAGAUUUCGGCCAGGUCUUGCGGGAAAUGGCUGCCAGCAGAGGCAAGAUAGGUGCCCUCUUUUGGACUUCCACCACUUGAGGUGAGUGCCUCACCCUGCCUCAUCAGUGGGCCGGGCCUAGUUAACAGGCUUAGUGAGCCAGCCUUCACUCCUCCAGCUUGUAGGAAUGCUUUUCUUUUCCACCCUCAAAGUCAUGUUCGAAAUACAGUGGUACCUCGGGUUAAGUACUUAAUUCGUUCCAGAGGUCCGUUCUUAACCCGAAAUUGUUCUUAACCUGAAGCACCACUUUAGCUAAUGGGGUCUCCUGCUACUGCCACGCUGCCAGAGCACAAUUUCUGUUCUCAUUCUGAAGCAAAGUUCUUAACCUGAAGCACUAUUUCUGGGUUAGCGGAGUCUGUAACCUGAAGCGUUUGUAACCCGAGGUACCACUGUAUGUUUGUACGAGAGAAGAUUGCCUGCCCCCCAAGGCUGCUGCAGGCGGAUUAUGAGUAGGAUCUGCAAAAGGGUUGAGCGUCCCUCUUCCUGCUCCUUUGCCCCAUUUUUGUGCAAAAAUUAAAUGGGCCAUUGAAUGUUUGUGUAAUACUGUAGUCAGGUACGUUUGGCUUGGGCCAUGAAUGGACAGGUGCUACAUGUCACCAUCCAACCAAGAAGGGGUCCUUGGUUCUGGUGUUUAUGGAGUGAGGGAGGUUCAGUAAUCACAAGCAAGUUGAGAACAGCAUUUAACUGGAAUUGCCUGUAGAGAGCUUGCGUGCCUAAGGAUCCUCCCAGCACUCCUACAGAUGCAAUGGUGACCCGCAUUUGCUGGCUUAACAACAUUCCAGUGUGAAAUAUUUCACACCUGCGUGCUCCUUAACAGCAAAUUGUGCUAUUUUGUUAAACCGGUGUUGUCAGCUCUCCUGAGCCUCGGACAAAGGAAAAAAAUCUCUCUGCCAGUCCCCUGAUCCUUUUUAAGCUGUCAGUGGUCCUGGGCCUUCCUGUGUGCAUAUCAGAUGCUUUGGCACCGAGUUGGGGUCCCUUUUACAUUCCAGAUGUAUAUAGGUAAAUAUAUCCCGGAGGUGGGGUUAGGGCCUGUUUCCCUUCAGGGCUUUGUGUUUUAAGAGCUGCACUCGCAUCCAUUCAAAAGGAGCACCAUCUGUUUCAUAAUUUUGUUUCUCCGUAGGCAAAAAUCUUGCCUUCCUGUUCCCUUUCCUUAGGGUCAUUUGCUGUUGAAAGACAAAACCUUCCGAGGAAACUGGGAUGGGUGAAAACUGAAUAAGGGUGUGUCACGGCGUUUUGCGUCGCAUGAUGGGAGCAGGCAAAGCGUUAAUCAGGAAAACGUGACCCAAUUAUCUGUACAGCUAAGAUGCAUUUGCUUCUGUGUCGAAUUGAAACAGCAUUUCUUAAUACAUUUUUAAGUGACUCACACAGGCUUUAACAACUUGUACAGGAAAUUAGAAAACCAUGACUCAGCUGGGAAGAGAGCUCUUUUCUCUUACAACAAGCCUGUGUAACCAACUCUUUUCUCCAUAGGCUGCUAGAACUACACUCAUGCUAAUCUUUUGUCUUUUCAGCCUAAAAGGCCAGAGUCAGUCGGUGCUUUGAUGGAGGCCCAGGAACCGCUUCUUGCAAUGCAAAUGGCAAAACAGGACUGGGAAGUCAAGAUAAACCUAAAUCGGCUGACUUGCUUUUCAGAGCUGCCACCAGUGCAGGCCUGAGGUUGUCACUUUGGAAAGUUCAUUAAUUGUUCAGUGGAUCGUAAGCUGCUUAGCAGAAACCUAGAUCUGCCCUUAUUAAUAGGACAUGUGCAGAGCUGAGGUUCAGCACCGUUCUUCGUCCAGUAGGGGGAGAAAGAGACGCCAGGCACAGUGAAUCGAAAAUGCACCAGUGUCAGAAAGAUCGUUUUUCUGCGUGCAUGGCAGGAAAACGGUCACACACCCCAGGCUGUUGUUUUUGGAGCAAAGGAGCAGGCUGGUGCACUUAGUCACAAGUCGGCAAAUGCUGUUAAAGGCUCCAGUCUUCCAAAUACGUCACCACCCGUUCGUCAGGCAAACGCAUGUUGCUUGCGUAAGGGGCAAGAUAUAGGUGCCCUAGCAGUGGAGGAGAGAUGAUGGCGCCUCUUCUGUGCAGACCCAACUGUGCAGGUAGUGUUAACUGCAUUGGGAACUGGAACAUCAAAGCACCCUUAUAAAUCAAGUGGGGGGUGUGGCCCUCCAACAUGCAGGGAUUGUGGGAUUUGUAGUCCAACAACAUCUGGAGGCCACAGGUCAUUACAGAAAUGCUAAAUCGCUGGGAGCAAGGAUUAAAAGUUGGCGAUAAAUUGUGGAGGAAGGUGGCUCUUCACUUCUAACAAAAGCUAACCUGAGUAGCUCAGCUGGUCAUAUAGUGGCUGUUAACUGUCCCCAGGUAAGCAAAAGCAAUGCAGGUGUUUGUCCCCUUUAUCCUUCUGUAUGUUCUGUGCGCUUUGGACUAGCAACUUCCAUAAUCCCUGUUCCAGCAUGGCAAAGCUGGAUGGGCUUGAUAGGAGUUGUGGUCCAAAACUUGCAGGUUGGCAGAGGAUGUGGGGUGUGGCUCUUUUCUCUGCCUUGCCCCCAGCUUUUCCUGCAGAUAGGAGGAGAGAUGGUUGGGACUUAAUAUUCAGCAUUUAUCUAGCAUGGGUCCCAAGUGCUGUAAACUACAUGCAGCGUCCCUGCAGUCCCUUACAACAACACUGUAGAGUAGGCCAGUAUUAUCACUUGCCUCCUGCAGAUGAAGGACUGAAAGAUGGGGUUUUUUUCUGCUCUUGCUAGCUUUGCCUCUGUGGUACCCCAGCUAAAUAGCAUGAGCUCAUUUAUCCCAGCCUAUUCUAUAUAUGAAAAGUGUAGUUUCUGCCUAUUGUCUUGAGUUCUGCUCUCGAUGCCCUCACCUGCUGUGACUCAUGCUAUCUUCUUUGCUGCCUGCUUGAUGGCAUCAGAUCAUCAUGUUCCUUCCAGUGCCAACUGGAAACCAUCCGGGAGGUGCUGCAAAUGAGAUUACAUCUCUCCCAGAAGAAGAAACGUAGCAUUUGCCAUAACCGGAUCUCUGAUCUUAUCCUUUGCACAUUCUACAUACUAGGCACAGUUCCACUUGGCUUGAUGCAUUUGUGCAAAUCCAAAAGCUCAGGCUGUUGCAUUAGCUGAUACCUUUUAUCACAGCCUCCCCCCCCCCACAAAAAACAAAGUGUGUUUGCUGAUUACACCAUCACAUAUGGCAUGUGCCAAACAAAUGUUGCCAAACCACAGCUCCCAUCAAGUUAAAUUCUGGCCUGUGAAUGUUGAAAGCACAGAAUGUAGAACUAAGUUUCCUGAGAAACUUUGCUCGCUCUUUAGCAAGAUGCUGGACCUUAUGACCACAAGGACAUGCCGAACAGUGAAUAAUGUAUUGUUGAAUCUCUAAAGCCAGAAGUUUUGGGUUAACACUUUUCCUGCUCCUGAGGCCCUGGGCAGCAGGAAGUGAGGAACCCUUGGGCCUCCAGAUGUUGUUGACUAAGAGCUGUCACCAUCCCUGGUCAUUGGCCAUGCUUGAUGGGACUUGUAGCUCAGCAACUUCUGUAAGGUCAAAGGUUCCCUACAUCUGGUGGAGACAGUAUUGAGCUAGAUGGGCUACUUUUCUGACUCUAUAAGACAGCUAUCUACAUUCCCAUUCAGUAGGAUCCUCAACCCUUGGAGAGCAGGGAAUAAGGAAAUCUGGUUCUGCUGGCCUUGUCCCAUGUGCAUUUCUUUGGAUCUAGCCCAAUAAGAUCAAUGACAAUAAUCCUUUUGCCUGGAUGUGCCUACGUAAAAAGUGUUUGGCUAGCACCUGGAAGAUAUGGGUUCAAAUCCCCACUCGCCAUGAAGCUCACUGGGUGAACUUUGGCGAAUUGCUUAAUCUCUGCUUCACCUCAUUAAAUGAGGUGAACCAUGAACAUUACAUUGAACUUUUCUUCAAGGUGGGAUAUAAAAUAAUAGCCUGCAAUGAAGGAAAGCCCACCACCUGCCAAGGUAGCCCAUUCUACUUGCAAGCAGCUCUUAGUGUUAGAAAUUUCUUCCUGAUGUUUGCUCUGGGUCUCCUUUCUUAUCAUUUGAAUCCAUUGGUUCUGGCCCUACCCUCCAGAGCAGUAGAAAACAAGCUUGUUCUAUUUUCCAUGUGACAGCCCUUUAGAUAUUUGAAGAUGGCUACCAUGUCGCCUCUCAAUCUUCUGUUAUCUAGGCUAAACAUACCCAACUCCCUCAGCUGUUCCUUAGAAGGCUUGGUUUCCAGGCCUUGAUCAUCUUGUUCGCCCUCUGCACACAUUCCAGCUUGUCAAUAUCCUUAAAUUGGAUCAGCCCAGCAAGUAGGGGUGGAACCACUAUAUCGCUGUGCAUCUGCUCCCAACCCAACAACCUGAUCCAGCAAGAUGCCAGCCCCAAUGGCAUCACAUGCUGCUGAGAGAUCAAGGAAAGCGGGCAGGGACACACUCCCAAACAGAAGUCAUUCAUUAUGGUGACAUGGGCCUUUUCUGUACUAAAACUAGGCAGGGCAGUGGCUAACGCCCCUCCUGCAAUGAUGAAUUACUUACCCCCUGGGCCUAGCCAGUCAGUCCCCUCCAAGUAGAUGUUAACCACAAAGAGCAAGAGUCAAAUAUGGACGUGGUCAGUUGGAUUCUUCCCAGACCCUUAUUGGCAUCCUAAGACUUCAAUAACUAAAACUGAUCCUACGCAAUCUGACUAGGUGGUGCACUGGACACCUCCAUAGGAUCCUUGCCGAUAGUAACAUCAAGUUCAGAAUGAAAAUGAGCGACCUUGCUCCCAAAGUUCCUUGCAAACCUGUCCCAACAGGCCUCUGAGGGUUCCAGCACCUCCACUUGGGCCAGAUUUUGGCGAUCCUUGCACCACUCAGAAAAGCUCUAUUGGGGGAUGCAAUGGUGGUCCUCUUUGCUGUCAUCACUGCCACACAAUAAUGUUAUAUGUGCCUGGAUGCCCAUCCCUGCUUAAGGACAUCCUUCCCCCAUGGAAUUCAUGAAUCAUACCUCAUUCUUCCCAUUUUGACCUUACAACAACCUUGGGAGGUAGAUUAGGCUGAGACAGAGUUAGUCACCCUGGAAGUUUGACUGCUGGGAUAGCUCAGUUGGUAGAGCAUAGGACUCUUAAAUCUUAGGGUUGUGGGUUCAAGCCCCACGUUGGGCAAAUGAUUCCAGCAUUGCAAGAGGUUGGACUAGAUGACCCUUGUGGUCCCUUCUAACUCUACACUUCUACCAUUAUAGCCCUCGUUAUACUGGAUCUCCCCCCCCCCCCGAUGAUCCCUGUCUGCUUAUCCAUUUAGAUCUUGCUUCAGGUCUGGUGAUGAAAUGUGGAUAAAAUCCUCAGUUUUAAUAUUCUGCAUCUUUCUUCUCACCAGAUCAGUUCAGAAUACCAAAUUGGUACAUUUUGACUGUCUGCAUUAUCAAGAUUUUGUUCCCUUCAUGCCCUCUCUGGCUUGACUCAGGAACAUACGCACCAGGGCCAUUAGCCAAUCUGACUCAUCCCUCCACUCGGUAAACAAUAAUUUUCAAAAUCCAGACGCAGACUCCCAGAAGAUCUUACGUCUGUGAGAAAUGGAACCUGGUUCACCACUUAGAUGGCUUGCUUCUUUGCAAAGCUUCUAAUUCCUGAGAGAAACACGGAUGGGAUUAAUUACCCAGCCCAAAAGGAUUAUGCUGAAAAGUUUGCUUGUGAUUUGAAAGUGUGUUACACAGAAGUGGCCCCCCGGAAUAAUAGGAAUAUUGGCAUUAUUCUGAAAUUCAGAUUGCGCAUUGAAAACCUUUGCACUAGUUUGACUCUUCUCAAUAAAAGAGAAAAGAACGAAUAGAGAUUUCAGGAAUAGCCAGCUUUUACUAGGGCUGGUCCUAUAGUUUGAGUGAGGUGGUUCUCUCAGGCAAAAUAUCUCCCUGCUGAUCUCAAGCUCAGUGGCAGAGGUUGUCCCAUCACUACUGCUGAAGUUUGGACAGUGCACCAUAUAUUUGAAGCACUAUUGUACCAUUUUAACAGUCAUGGCUUCCCCCUCAAAAUCUUAGGAGCUGGAGUUAAGGGUGCUGAGAGUUGUUAGGUAAAGGGACCCCUGCCCGUUAGGUCCAGUUGUGGCCGACUCUGGGGUUGCAGCACUCCUCUCGCUUUAUUGGCUGAGGGACCCGGCAUACAGCUUCCGGGGCAUGUGGCCAGCAUGACUAAGCCUCUUCUGGCGAACCAGAGCAGCGCACGGAAACGCCGUUUACAUUCCCGCCGGAGCUGUCCCUAUUUAUCUAUUUGCACUUUGACGUGCUUUCGAACUGCUAGGUUUGGCAGGAGCUGGGACUGAGCAACAGGAGCUCACUCCGUGCAAGUAGAUAAAGUGCAAGUAGAUAAAUAGGGACAGCUCCGUUUACCUUCCCGCCGGAGCUGUCCCUAUUUAUCUACUUGCACUUUGAUGUGCUUUUGAACUGCUAGGUUUGGCAGGAGCUGGGACUGAGCAACAGGAGCUCACUCCGUUGCAGGGAUUUGAACUGCCAACCUUCUGAUCGGCAAGUCCUAGGCUCUGUGGUUUAACCCACAGCGCCACCCGCAUCCCUGCUGAGAGUUGUUAGGAGGCACCAAUUUCCCUCACAGAGCUACAAUUCCCAGAGUUCCUUGGGAGGAACGGUGGGUUGUUAAACCAUGACUGAUAACGAGAGCAUUUUAAAUGUGUGGUACAUAUGUGGCCUUAGAGGCAACAGUCAGGUUUUUCGGGAUUUUGCAUGGGGGUGGAGGCAUUGUGUAGACAUCUGGUUCUUCAUCUCAGCAACAUGUCUUGAGUCAGCUAUGUAAAUGCUUCUAAUUUAAGAAGCUGGUCCCUCGAAAAAAGAAAAAGCCACAGUAGGAUGACAUUUUGGUUGGCCCUAAUUCAAGGAGUGAUACUAUGGCCGGUUGUUGUUGUUUAGUCGGGUCACGAAGAGUCGGACACGGCUAAACAACAACGACACACCAUAGUGUUACUGUUUUUGUUGUUUUGUUGUUUAGUCAUGUCCAACUCUUCGUGACCUCAUGGACCAGAACACGCCAGGCACUUCUGUCUUCCACUGCCUUCCGUAGUUUGUGCAAACUCAUGCUGGUAGCUUCGAGAACACUGUCCAACCAUCUUGUCCUCUGUCAUCCCCUUCUCCUUGUGCCCUCCAUCUUUCCCAACAUCAGGAUCUUUUCAAGGGAGUCUUCUCUUCUCAUGAGGUGGCCAAAGUAUUGGAGCCUCAGCUUCAGGAUCUGUCCUUCCAGUGAGCACUCAGGGCUGAUUUCCUUCAGAAUGGAUCGGUUUGAUCUUCUUGCAGUCCAUGGGACUCUCAAGAGUCUCCUCCAGCACCAUAAUUCAAAAGUAUCAAUUCUUCAGCGAUCAGCCUUCUUUAUGAUCCAUCUCUCAUUCCAUACAUCACUACUGGGGAAACCAUAGCUUUAACUAUACGGACCUUUGUUGGCAAGGUGAUGUCUCUGCACUUUUACUAUAUUUUAUUUUAUUUAUACCCCACCCAUCUGGCUGGGUUUCCCCAGCCGCUCUGGGUGGCUUCCAGCAAAACAGAGAAAACAUAAUAAAACGUCAAACAUUACAAACUUCCCGAUUCAGGGCUGCCUUUGCAAGAGAAACAAAACCCUGCAACCAAACCACAGUGACUUGUUUCCCUGAAUCAAAAUAGAAGUACAGAACUGCAUGCCACAUUUGUAGAAGGAAAUGCAAAAAGCAGAACAAUUGUUGCAGUGUCUGGGAGCACAGAGCACCCACAACCAAUUGAUCACAGAUCUGUUUGGUGGUGCCCAGUGACUUGGAAUCUUGCACUCUCUGUUCCCUGAAAGACAAUGCUCCCUGCACAAUGCUCCCUUGGGCUUCUUUUCUCUUCUCCUGGGCCUGGGCAUUUUAAUUGCCUAUAUAGUUCAGAACUCGUUUCAAGCUUGGCCAACAAUGACAGCUCUUGGAGAUUUAGGGCGUUCUCUUUGUGUGGUGUGGCGGGAUGCCCCAUGGAAUGGAGUUUCCCCAGCAGCACUAUGCAGAUGUAAGAAUUCCUGAGAGUUCGCUUAUGGAUAGCAGGGUUUGAUAUUUUUCCGCACAAAGAUCUGACUGCGAAGAGUCAUAGGAGAGCGGAGCCAUGGAUCAAGUCAGAACUAGAGAACUAUGAAGGACCUAAUAAAAAAAUUCCUUCCAGUAGCACUUUAGAGGCCAACUAAGUUUGUUACAGUGGUACCUCGGGUUACAUACGCUUCAGGUUACAUACGCUUCAGGUUACAGACUCCGCUAACCUAGAAAUAGUGCUUCAGGUUAAGAACUUUGCUUCAGGAUGAGAACAGAAAUUGUGCUCUGGCGGCAGCAGGAGGCCUAAUUAGCUAAAGUGGUGCUUCAGGUUAAGAACAGUUUCAGGUUAAGUACGGACCUCCGAAAUAAUUUAAGUACUUAACCCGAGGUACCACUGUAUUGGUGUGAGCUUUCGUGUGCAUGCACACUUCUUCAGAAACACGAAAGCUCAUACUAAUAACAAACUUACUUGGUCUCUAAGGUGCUACUGGAAGGAUUUUAUUUAUUUUGCUUCGACUACUGCAGGCUAACACGGCUACCUACCUAUAACUAUGAAGGACCUGUAACUUUAUAAAUGUAUUGUGGCAUAAGAUUGUCAGUUGCACAAAGUGUGGUCUUCAAUAGCCUUCUCUCACACACCCACACCCCGCUGUAAAUAAUAUAGUUUGUCCCAUGAAGCUUUAUUAUCACAUAUCUGUACUCCACCAUUUUCCCUGACGGAGACUCAAGAAAAGGCUAAGUAGUAAAUCCUACACAAAUCCAAAGCAGAGUCCCAGAUUUCUAAUGCCAUGCAGCCUGCAGUCACUACUUUUUAAACUGACGUACAGAAAUCGACACCAUUUCAUUUCCUUUGAACUGUUUUGGAUGCUAGCCAUGUGUGUACAUUCUUCUGGUUCAAAAAAAGGUGUUUUCAAGGUGCUUGUUCUAUGGCAUGUUGCUUUAUGGAACCAUUUGUGCAAUACGUUUAAUAAACUUUUGCACAUUUCUUGUUCAGACAGGCGAGCCAGAGGUAGAGCAGGCUCUCAUGAUUAGAUGAAUGAGUACAUCAGAGACAAAAGGCGACUUUUCAGCAAUUUGAUGAUGGCAUCAGGAGAUAAUGUAAUUACAAGCAAUGUUUUGCUUUGGCUACUACAUAACGUUUGUGUGUGAGAAAACGAGCAAAGGCUUUGCAUAUUUUUUGACUAGUGCAUCCAGUGAUCUAACCCUUCCAAAUCCUUUAAAAAGAAGGAAAGAAAGAAAGAAACUUGGAAGGGGGGGAUUAAGAGUGCAAUUCACAUUUCUUUCCUCCUUUCAAUAUCACUUGCUUUUACCCACCAAGUGAAUUCAAAAAGGUUUGCAAAAACUGUGCCACAUCAUAACAGUAAAAAAAAAAAAAAAGAUUGUGUUUUUAUUUCAUAAAAUUUGUAUACCGCUUGAUUGUAAAAAAAAAAAA